rnacentral:lncRNA from 1 species
CCUUGAUCCCUAACUCUAUUUACUUCUUGUGUCCAUUUGGUCUUACCUUUCUUAUCUAACAGUAAAGAUGCCUUAACAUUGGAUCGACACAGAGAAUCGAGCAAACUCUAACUAUAUCCACUAGAGGUGGGCACAAUCAUCAGCUGGUUGACUGGUUGGAUGAAUGUACUGCAAGCUAUACACAACACUCAACUGUGGCAUCAGAGAGACAAUUUGAAGUGCAUGUCUAUUAAAAGCACAAUGGCCAGACCCUUCCACUUUUGUUGGUGUUGAGAAGGAGGAGACAGAAGAUGCACAGCUUGGUUCCAUAAUGCAUCAGAGAAGAGUUUCUAAAGAUAAAAAAGUCCAUGGAGAUACUUUUAAUCAAAUAGACCACUGGAAACCAGAAGUCAUUAUGCUAUCAAAACAGAAGAAGAACCUGAAGAGUGAAUUUAUGUGUAUUUUUAGGUGGAUGACUUUGUUACAUGACUGGGUGCUGCCAGGGUGGCCUCUACUGCACUUAGCUGUCUGGAGAGGAUGAAGGACUCAUUAACAGCACCCACUACUUGGCAGGAAAUUCCUCUUCAGAGCCUUGUGGGACCAUCAAAUACUGGGC